rnacentral:lncRNA from 1 species
UAAAAUUUUAAAAAAUUAUUUAUAUAUUAUAUUUUGAAUUUUUAAAAACGAGUAUAAAUUACUAAAACUCCUAAAAGUUUCACAUUCAAAUUUUGUGAUCUAUCAUUUAAAACUUUUGUUAUGACAUGAUACAAAUAAUUAAAAAUAAUAUAAGUUGAAAGUCUCAUUUAAUAAGUAUAAAAAAUAAAAAAUAUAUAAAUAUAUGAAUCAUUUAAAUUAAACUAUAUGCCAUAUAAAAAUACAUAUAUAUCUUAAUUUUGAAAUUUACUUUGAACAUUUUUUUGAUAAAAAAUUUGAAAAAAUAUUGAGAACUUUAUUUAAACCAUUAAUCCCACAGUGAAAAUUUUGUUAUCACUAAUUUAGAUUUUUUGCUAUAACAGAUACAAAUGAUAAAAAAAAAAUAUGAGCAAAAAAUAUCAUCUAAUAAAUAUUAAUAUUAAAAUAUACCAUAUAUAUGUUACUAUCAUUUAAAUUUAAUUAUAUAUCAUAUCAAAUAGAAAAAAUAUUUUUUCCAUUUAUAAAAUUUAUUUAUAUGUUCGCACC